rnacentral:tRNA from 1 species
GGCAGGGUAGCUCAACGGUUAGAGCAGUCGUUUCAUAAGCGACAGGUUGUGAGUUCAAAUCUCACCCCUGCUA